rfam:Echinostoma caproni strain Egypt genome assembly, scaffold: ECPE_scaffold0000191
GCACUGCUGACGAGUCCCAAACGGGACUAAACAGCCGUCCGGUGU